UGGGGUGUGGCCAAGUGGUAAGGCAUCGGAUUUUGGUUCCGACAUUCGGGGGUUCGAAUCCCUCCACCCCAGCCA
rnacentral:tRNA from 1 species